rnacentral:tRNA from 1 species
GCAGUAGUGGCGGAAUAGGCAGACGCGUACGUUUGAGGGGCGUAUGGGGAUACCCGUGUGAGUUCAAGUCUCAUCUGCUGCACCA